CGGGGCUUAAAGUCUUGUAAUUGGAAUGAUGGGAAUUUAAACCUCUUCCAGAGUAUCAAUUGGAGGGCAAGUCUGGUGCCAGCAGCCGCGGUAAUUCCAGCUCCAAUAGCGUAUAUUAAAAUUGUUGCAGUUAAAAAGCUCGUAGUUGAAUUUCUGCUGCAUUGCUUGUGUCCCUUUUGGGUCUGUGCAUGUGGCUUUUUUCGGACGGAGUUUCUUUGUCUGAAUGUUUACUUUGAGAAAAUUAGAGUGCUCAAAGCAGGCUUUCGCCUUGAAUAGUUUAGCAUGGAAUAAUAAAGUAGGACUUUGGUUCUAUUUUGUUGGUUUUAGGUACCAAAGUAAUGGUUAAUAGGAACAGUUGGGGGCAUUCGUAUUUAACUGUCAGAGGUGAAAUUCUUAGAUUUGUUAAAGACGAACUACUGCGAAAGCAUUUGCCAAGGAUGUUUUCAUUAAUCAAGAAC
rnacentral:rRNA from 1 species